rnacentral:lncRNA from 1 species
GCUGGGAUGGAGAGGGCGUCGCGCUGAAAUUGCGCAUGCGCAUCCCUGGAACCCGAAGUUGGUUUGUUCCGAGCAGCGUAUUUCAAUAUCGCGCGCGGAAACCAGCUGGCUGAUGCAGUGCUUGCCAGAGUUUGCCAAAUUAAGAAAACGGUUCCUCAAUUUUAAAAGAAGGAGAGUUGACAGUACCUUCUUCAUAAUAUUGCUGUGAGGAUUAAAUGAAAAUAAGUAAAGUGCAUAGAAUAGUGUCUGGCCCGAGAUCUUCUCUGGAGAAGCAUACUGCUAUCACGUUUAAGUAAUGUGUGGUCUUCAUCAUGCCCAAAACACUAUACGGAGCAUUUAAACGCGUGAUACCUAUGCAAUUUACUGUAUUUGCAAAGUGAAAGCAUGCCCUUUACACAGCUAUGAUUGAAAUGUGCCAGAUACUUGAAGGAAUUUAAAAGGAUUAAGAGAUCGUCCCUACCUUCAAGGAGUUUCCAGUCUUAUACAGACCUUUAGGAUCUAAAGCUUCAUUCUCUUCCAUGACCACAGGCUUCCUUCAGGAAGAGUACAUGUCAGUCCAGUUAGUACCCCCAAAAGAAAGAGAAGACUUCUUGUUUGGGGAUAUUUCAAGGCGGAAUUGAAUCUCUUUUAGUGAGCCUCCAAAAUGAAAAAUUAAUGGAUAAAUGGAAUAGUAAGGUUUAUUUAUUUUUGUUGAAUUGUGCUCAAUAUCUUGCCUGACACCACCUGUGAUAAAUCUGCUUUUUUUACUCUCUCUGGAAAACAUGUGAAUCACAGCUGAUGGAGAAACAAUCAUUAUCAUCAAUUCUUGUUGUCUUGGCUACCACUGGGUGGAUGGCGCUGAUUCUAACAGACGCUAGCCUGCCAAAUGCUCGGGAUGCUCCAUCAAUCACUGGGUCAAGAUCCACCUCUAGUCACACUAGAGGGAAGGACUUCUGGAGAUUGCACAGCCGGGAUAUCAGCUCAUUCCUCAAAUAACCCUAGUAAUUUUGUGGAAAUAAAAAUUUAACUACUGUAUCACACUGUGAUUUGGAAGAACUGAACUGUUAUUGUCCUAUCACAAUUUUCCUAUACAGAAGAUAGACUUUUCAGAUCUGAUGUAGUUUCUUGGUUUUGAAAGUUAAGAUCUCCUGGGAAAUGCGAAUUUCUGUUUAGAGAAUUUCCUCCCCCUCUAUCAGUCAUGUCAGAGUUGUUUUUAUUAUAACAUUUGUUUUACAAUGUAAGAUUUUCCUUUCCAUCUUGACAUAAUUGCUAGUGGUUAUCAAAACUAGGCAAUGUUGAACACGAGAACCUGAACAGAAAAGAAGUAAUGCAAAUUACUUGGUCAGAAAACCUCUCAAAGGACUUAAAUAGAUUUGGAAUGAAAGAUGCAAGACUACAUUAAAUUUAAAUAACUUGCCAUAUAAAUGUUGAAAAACAAUUACCAAAUCUUUAAAAUUGCAAGGACCAGGAUUAAAGGUUUAAAAGAAAUUCAUUUUCUCUCUUACAGAAACUUAAUCCUCCUUUUAAUGUGCUUUCUUCUCGCAACUCUGCGAUUUAUCUGUGUGUAUUUGCAUUUAUCGUAUUUUUUUCCGGUUUUUCUUCCUUAUUAUAUCGUAAUCUCCUUUGUGGGCAGGGGCCACUGCAAAUCUUUAAUUGUGCCAGAUGUCUCUGACUACUGA